UUUUCAGGGUGAGUAUGUUCCAUGCAAUAUUUGGUACGUAUUUAUCCUAAAA
rnacentral:pre_miRNA from 1 species